GUGCUCACUUGGCAUCACAUAGACUAAAACUGGAGCAACACAGAGGAGAUUGGCACAGCCCCUGCGCAAAUGUGUUUCCAAAUUCAGCGCAUGGCACUGAACAUAUUU